UACAGAGGGUGCGAGCGUUAAUCGGAAUUACUGGGCGUAAAGCGUGCGUAGACGGCUAUCUAAGUCGGGUGUGAAAGCCCCGGGCUCAACUCCGGAAUUGCCUUUAAGACUGCAUCGCUAGAAUUGUGGAGAGGUAAGUGGAAUUCCGAGUGUAGAGGUGAAAUUCGUAGAUAUUCGGAAGAACACCAGUGGCGAAGGCGACUUACUGGACACAUAUUGACGCUGAGGUGCGAAAGCGUGGGGAGCAAACAGG
rnacentral:rRNA from 1 species